AUCCACUAUGUGAAACACUUCAUUCAGGAGUAAAGGUAGUUAAUCAUCUCCUGCUUUGCCCUGUAUUUCCACAUUAAAAUGCUUUAAUAAUUGCUCAUACUUUAGCAUUAUUGUUCAAUCUUGUCCCUUUGCCCCUCCCCGUGUGCCUCUUCAAGUCUGUAUUGUGACACUGUUGCGUUGCAUCUCCCUCUCCUCAGGGAAAAUCAUCCUCCCAUCGUCCAACCCCGCCAGCCUUAUCAGUGACAGGGUAGAGAUGAAUAAGGGAUCAAAAGGGCCUUUUCUCUCCCUUUUUUCACACUGUCAGGUUAUAUUUACUCUGGGUCCCUGUGGCUCAGCACAGUGCCACACACACCAAUUACACAUGACAGGCUUUUUCAUUCCUGGGAUCCUGUCUAAUGCAACUAUAACUGCUGUACCAAACAUGUCUGAAGACCAUACCUGCAAAUAUCACCCAGCUUAAUUUUACAAACUUUUUUUUUUUUUACAGUAACUUGAUUAUUUUCUAAUUUUGCACUCUGUUUGCCAGAUUUUGGAGAAGUUUGCUCACGGCAAUCCUUCGAGUAUAGAUUUACAGCAGGCUAGAAAGGCCAGAAAGUGUUUACAUGAAAUGAUUUAAUUGACAGAAAAGUAUCACCAAGCUACCGUUAGCUCAUGUGAGACCAAUUAUCAUCUUGCACCACAAAUGGACAGCUUGUUUGGCAACAUGAUUCAUCCAUGGAUUCUCUGCUAGUUCAAAUAAACCCUGCUGUGGAGAAAAAAAGAAAAAAAAUCCCCAAAUCCCACAAAUCAUUUAAAAGGAAACAAUGGCUAACAGUAUCAGCCAAGCCAAUAUAAUGACCCGUGUCUCAUUCUUUUAAAGAAUAAAAGAUGCCUUGUUUCAAGUCUCUACGCUAACUGCAAUGUCACGAUAUGUCCGCGCACUACAUAAGUGACGAGUUCACCCCUGCCACUGGGAUCAAGGUUAAUAACUAAUCCUUGAUAUAAGCAGGCAAUUUAGCUUUACAAAACUACAGCAGGCCAAAAAUCCCAGUGUGUUUGAGUGUUUACCCAGCCCCCAUUACAAUGUACUAAAACCUUGGCUCUGAUGUUGAGCACUGGCAAUAACCCACCACUUAAUGAGUAAGGCCUACUGCUGCUCCUGCCAGGCGAUAAUCUUCUCUUGGCAUAACCAAAUCAAGCAAAGAAAUGUUCUUAUCAGGAGGGAACAGCACACAUCCCCCCCAAACACCCAACAGACCCCCGACGUAAUUGAUUUUCACCAUCCCAAGGCAGCUCAUUGCAUGCAUCAAACUAUUUUAUUUACUGGACUCCCUGUUUGGGUGCAGGAUUGUUUUCUCUAUAUUUUUUCUGCAUCCUUUUUGAUUUGAUGAUGUGAUUUUGCCCUUGAUCUCCGGUUGUGGAAAAGCAGCACAGAUGUCAUUGGGCGUUUUUGUGUUGCUGGUGUGUAAGUGUCCUUGUUUUAGUCAAAUUAAAUCGGUUUCAAAGUUACAUCAAAAUGUUGUACAAUGAAAUAUUAAUAAAGACUUUUUUAGGGGACAUUCUAAGGCUUGUUAGUCAGAUUAGUCAUUUGUAGGACAGAUUCAUACAUAACAUGUGUAAAG
ensembl:lncRNA